GUAUGUCUACAUCUACAAUUUUGCAGCGCUGGUUGUUACAGUUGUAUUAGUACAGCUGUAUAGGGCCAGCGCUGCAGAGUGGUCACACUUACAGCAACCAGCGCUGCAAGUGGUGUUAGAUGUGGCCACACUGCAGCGCUGUUGGGCGGCUUCAAGGGGGGUUAGGGGAACGCGAGAGCAAACCGCGGGGAAGCAGGUCUCCUUCCCCGCGGUUUGCUCCAGUGUUCCCCGAACACCCCCCUCCCAAGCAGGUCUCCUUCCCCACGGUUUGUUCUCGCGUUCCCCGAACCCCCGUGCAAGCAGGUCUCCUUCCCAGCUGUUUGCUCCGGUGUUUUUUGAACCCCCGUGCAAGCAGAUCUCCUUCCCCGCGGUGUGCUGUCGCGUUCCCCGAACCCCCGUGCAAGCAGGUCUCCUUCCCAGCGGUUUGCUCCGGUGUUCCCCAAACCCCCCUGCAAGCAGGUCUCCUUCCCUGCGGUUUGCUCUGGUGUUUUUUGA